rnacentral:lncRNA from 1 species
CAGGUUGAGAGCAUUUUCUGCCAAGAAAACUCAUGUCCUGACUGAUAUACGGUACCCUGAGUGAGCGAGGUCUCGCUCUGUCACCCAGGCAGAAGAGCAGUGGUACGAUCUUGGUUCAUUACAGCCUUGACCUCCUGAGCUCAAGUGAUCCUUCCACCUCAGCCUCCGGAGUAGCUGGGACCGCAGGAAUGCAAUACCAUGUCUGGCUAAUUUUUGUACUUUUGGUAGAGGCGGGGUCUUGCUACCUUACCAGGGCUGGUCUCAAACUCCCGGGCUCAAGCGAUCCUCCUUGCCUUGGCCUCCCAAAGUACUGAGAUUACAGGCAUGAGCCGCUGCACAGAGCCCCACUAACUAUUUUUUGAAUAAAUCUGAGUUCCUGAAAGAUUGAAUACAAUCUGUUUAGAGGAAGAAGCUGUAAAACUGUAAUAAGAUGAAAGAAGAAGAAAGGAAGAAAAGGAGGAGCGAAAGGAGGAGGGGAAGAAACUGAUUCAUGCAGGUUAAAUAAUAUCAUAAUUAUUCCACUGUAAUUUUUUUGCACUUUAAAGUACUCACCUGUCUAUUCUGUACUGGAGUUCUGACCUUGUUUCUGGUCUACCACACCACUGCAUUUUCAAACCAAGAAUUCACUGAGAGCGAAU